rnacentral:misc_RNA from 1 species
CAGAUGGAAGUCCAACGAAGACUGCAUGAGCAGCUAGAGGUGCAGCGUCGUCUUCAACUUCGGAUUGAAGCACAGGGGAAAUACCUACAGUCAAUUCUUGAGAAAGCUUGUAAAGCUCUGAAUGAUCAGGCUGCUGCAUCUGCUGGGCUUGAAGCUGCCAGGGAAGAGCUAUCUGAACUAGCAAUCAAGGUUUCCAGUGAAUGCCAAGGAAUUGUCCCAGUGGAUAACAUCAAAAUGCCUUCAUUGUCGGAACUUGCUGCGGCUCUGGAGAACAAAAAUACUGCGAAUUUGCCAGCUCGAAUUGGUGAUUGUUCUGUUGAAAGCUGCUUGACUUCAACUGGGAGCCCAGUUUCUCCAAUGGGUGUUGGUUCACA